rnacentral:rRNA from 1 species
GAUGAACGCUGGCGGCGUGCCUAAUACAUGCAAGUCGAGCGAAUGGAUUAAGAGCUUGCUCUUAUGAAGUUAGCGGCGGACGGGUGAGUAACACGUGGGUAACCUGCCCAUAAGACUGGGAUAACUCCGGGAAACCGGGGCUAAUACCGGAUAACAUUUUGAACCGCAUGGUUCGAAAUUGAAGGGCGGCUUCGGCUGUCACUUAUGGAUGGACCCGCGUCGCAUUAGCUAGUUGGUGAGGUAACGGCGCACCAAGGCAACGAUGCGUAGCCGACCUGAGAGGGUGAUCGGGCACACUGGGACUGAGACACGGCCCAGACUCCUACGGGAGGCAGCAGUAGGGAAUCUUCCGCAAUGGACGAAAGUCUGACGGAGCAACGCCGCGUGAGUGAUGAAGGCUUUCGGGUCGUAAAACUCUGUUGUUAGGGAAGAACAAGUGCUAGUUGAAUAAGCUGGCACCUUGACGGUACCUAACCAGAAAGCCACGGCUAACUACGUGCCAGCCGCCGCAGUAA